GGCUGCGGGAGAUGAACAAGAAGCUGCAGAACCUCCUGGAGGAGCAGCUGACCAAGAACCUGCACCUGGCACAGGACCUGGAGUCGCUGUCCCAGGAGCUGGCGCAGCUCAGGAAGGAACAGGCGACCCCCUCGGGACCCCCCUGAGGGGCGGGGCCUCGCCUGGUGGGCGGGGCCUCGCCCCCGCAGGCUCCGCCCCCCGGCCGGGGCGCUGCUGCGGGGGAGGCGUUGCCCCUUUAAGGCCGUGCUGGGCCCCGCCGGCAUUGCCCCUUUAAGGCGGGACGGUUCUGUACAUGGCGUUGCCCCUUUAAGAGUGGGGUGGGGGUGUUUCCCGGGUGGGCGUUGCCCCUUUAAGAGCUGGGUCGUUGCCCCUUUAAGAGCUGGGUCGGUCCCUGCCGCGGCGUUGCCGCUUUAAGGAGGAGGUGGUCCCCACUGUGGCAUUGCCCGUUUAAGGGGGGUCCCGCAUGCGCCCCCCCCUCUCCCCCCCAAUAAACCCGAUGUGAAUCGCUGC